CGCCGCGACCUCGGCCACCUUAUGAGUUUUACUGCAAGAGUAUGUCGGCAUCCUGCUUUUUCUAGUUAAAAAAUAGGUCGACCCACGCUGAUACGCGAUCUAUGGUAAAGAUUUUUUUUCUCUAUAAAGAAAAAGGUCGUCCUAUAUACUUCAACAGUAUAUCUUUUCUUAAUGUGAAUCAUUUUGUGGUUGGAUAGUUAGAGGAAUUGUGAUAUCCCUAACCCUGUAAUCCAGAUGCUCGUAUUUAUUUCUAGAUUUAUUUUAGGAUUUUUGACAAAGCGCAUUCAAUGAAAGUAACGUUUUCGUCGACGAGGCGUCAACGAUGAUUUCAUAAAUCUCAGGGUACUCAUAAGGGUAGGAUAUGUGUGUGCAUUCAUAUGGAUGAUUGUAUGCGUGUGUGUAUGAACGCUUGCGUUUGUACUGUGCUAAAAAAUAGUUGAUCCUUACUAUCUUUGACAGUAUUGUUAAAAAUCUCAUGUUGGACUUUUAAGCGUGACAAUCAAACGAUUUUAAUGACAAAUUUAAUUAGCGUAAGGAUGUUAAAUUUAGCUCAUGAGCAUGGCAAUUUCCUGCAAAAAAAAGUAAAACAGAUUUAUCAUGCUUCUCAACUAAACUUGUCAUUCUAGACAAACACUAAUCAUCAUAAAAAUGUUUGAUUUUUCAUAGCCAAAAAUCUGAUGUUAGAUUUGUAGUGGAGUUCAUCUUUAAUUCUCUAUAAGCAUGCACUUAUGUCAAGUCAUUGGGCCAUCAUAGAUAAAAAGCAUAUGUUACCAAUGAUACCUGUAUUAAACAUACAUUUCAUAACUAUAUAAUAAUCAGGUACAACAAAUUAUAUUUAUUUUAACUCUAAUGCCCAUUCGGUUAACGCAAGUGUACUAAUGUCUCAUACUCAACACGACUGUAUCAACUCACCCUGUCACGAUGCAUGAAAAAACAACGCACCUCAAUAUACUAUUUAUAUUCAAUAAAUAUUCCUAUAUACCAUAACAAUAUACUAAAUUAUAUAAUCAAGUCUCAAUUUCCAUAUUUUAAUUCAAAUCCCAUAUGCCUAAGAGAGUGAUCUUCAAUAACUUUUUUAACUCAACAUGUAUGUCGUGGUGAGUGUAGCUAAGUGGGCUCCCUUGUGAUGAACCAAUAAAUCAAGAUUCAAGUUCUAGACUUGACAAUGAUGAUCUUACUUUUUGAAAUUUAUUCCAAGCUGCUUAUAGGGAUAGGACGCAUGUGUGUGCGUUUCUAGGGUUGAGUGUUUGUAGUGUGUUAUAGAAAAUGCAAAUAUGUCACUCCAAUGUACAACCAUGAUUAGGAUAAGUUAUAUGUAAUCAUGCAUGAACCUUGAUGCUAUAACGUCCAAUCAUGCAUGAAAACAUGUUUUUCAUUCAACUAUUUUACUUAUAUGUAAUAAAUAUUUUACAACUACACAUAUUUACAUAUAAUAAGUUAUAUGUAUUUUCUAUUUUACUCAUGCUAACAACCAAACUUUUAAUCAAACAAUUACCACAUCAAUGUGCGGGAUAAUCUCUAACAUUAUUCUAUUAUACAACCAAAUCUCAUUGAAAUAAUUGCAUCCCACAUCAAUGUGUGUGGUACGUAUAACAAGUAGCAUACAUCCUUAACAUAAUAUAUUUAUAAAAUUAACAAUACAUCCCUUUCGGUGUGACGAAAUUUUCUUCCUCCUACAUCCACCAAUGGUGCAUCAUAAGCAAGGCUUCGCUUACGCGCCUCCAUCUAGGGAGGCAAACUUUAUUGAAAGAGAAGCUUGUAAAUGUCGCAAAUAUAAAGUCGUUGAUUUGGAUCAAAAGAUAACAAUGACCGUAAUCUGUAUAGGAAGUCACCAUCUUAAAGAAGACCAGGGAUGCAUGUAUAGUGUCCCAUGUCCCGCUAGACGGAGUUGGGGAACACAACUCUCCCACGGUCCCAAAUGAGGCCGAUGUUGGUAGCCUUCAUCGGUCAGAACUGGGUUGGGGAAUUAAGACGCACAAACACACUAUUCGCUCCCCAACACAAGGCCUGAAAUUAAUCCAUAGAAGAAAAAAAAACCAACCCGAAGAAUCAGAUUUGAGGACACAUGCCUCCCAACGAUGUUAAGAAGCACCAUCCAAAUGAAAGACGAGGCAGCGAGGACUUCAUGCCACCGACUACACCGUCGCCUCAUCACCAACGAUUGGGAGCCAAAAACUAAAUUUAAAAAUCUUACCCUACCACUAUCGAGGCGAAACAUCAAGUUCCCAACCCACUCCCUCUGUCAAAGCAACGAGCAAAGGGGGAGGGGCACUGACCUCACGGGCGAGGUCGUUUUGGCCGACGGGAGUAUUGUCAAAUCUUGAGGCAACGCCAAGAGCUAGCUGCAACCCAAGUUGGGAUAUGGGAUUAACUUUUACGGGCUUUGGUGCCAAAGCUUACGGAGGAGGGUGGGUAGUGCCUACUUGUGGCACGGAGGAGCAAGGGUAUAUGUAGCGCCCCCCCUAUCCGAAAAGUCCAAAACCUUUCCCUUGUCCCAUUUCCUUAUAAUUUUAAUGGAAUUAAAUGUUUGCUCACCUAGGAUACCCCUAAAAUUUAUCCCCUAAUAAUAUUUCAACACUAUUUUUUGCACACAAAAGCUUACCAACACAUCCAAUUAUGCAUGAAAACAUGUUUUCCACUCAANNNNNNNNNNNNNNNNNNNNNNNNNNNNNNNNNNNNNNNNNNNNNNNNNNNNNNNNNNNNNNNNNNNNNNNNNNNNNNNNNNNNNNNNNNNNNNNNNNNNNNNNNNNNNNNNNNNNNNNNNNNNNNNNNNNNNNNNNNNNNNNNNNNNNNNNNNNNNNNNNNNNNNNNNNNNNNNNNNNNNNNNNNNNNNNNNNNNNNNNNNNNNNNNNNNNNNNAUUUUACUCAUGCUAACAACCCAACCUUUAUAAAAAAAAUACACAUCAACGUGUGGGGUAAUCUGUAAUAUUAUAGUUUUAUACAAUCAAAUCUCAUUGAAAUAACUGAGUCCCACAUCAAUGCAUGUGGUACGUAUAAUAGGUAGCUUAUAUCCUUAACAUAAUAUAUUUAUAAAAUUAAAAAUACAUCCAAAUCCUUUGGUGAGACGAAAUUUUCUUCCUCCUAUAUCCACCCAUGACACAUUAUAAGCAAGCCUUCGGUUAUGCGCCUCCAUCUAGGGAGGCAAACUUUAUUGAACCGAAAGCUUGUAAAUGUAGCAACUAUAAAGUCGUUGAUUUAGACCAAAAGAUGUCAAUGAUCGCAGUCUGCAUAGGAAGUCACCGGCUUGAAGAAGACUAGAGAGGCAUCUAUGGUGUCCCAUGUCCCGCUAGCCGGAGUUGGGGAACACAACUCUCCCACGGUCCCCAAUGAGGCCGAUGUUGGUAACAUUCGUCAGCCAGAAUGGGCUGUGGGAAUCAAGACGCACAAACACACCAUUCGCUCUCCAACACAACGCCUGAGAUAAACCCAUAGAAGAAAAAAAACUGGAGAAUCAGAGUUGAGGACACAUGCCUCCCAACGAUGUCAAGAAGCACCGUUUGAAUGAAAGACGAGGCGGCGAGGACUUAUUCCAUGCCACCGACUACAUCAUCGCCUCACCACCAAUGAUUGGGAGCCAAAAUCUAAAUUUGAAAAUCUUACCCUACCACCAUCGAGGCGAAAUGGCACGGUCCCAACCCCCUCCCUCCGUCAAAGCAACAGGCGAAGGGGAAGGGGCAGUGACCUCACGGGCGAUGUCGUUUUGGCCGAUGGGAGUAUUGUUUAAUUUUGAGGCAACCCCAUGAUCUAGCCGCAACCCAACUUGGGAAUUUGGAUCAAUUAUUAUGGGCUUUGGUGACGAAGCUUACGGAGGAGGGUGGGUAGUGCCUCCGUGAACCACACUUGUGGCACGGAGGAGCAAGGGCAUAUCUAGUAGCCCCCCCUAUCUGAAAAGUCCAAAACCUCUCCGUUGUCCCUUUUUUUUAUAAUUUUGAUGGUAUUAAAUGUUUUCUCACCUAGGAUAUCCCCUAAAAUUUAACCCCUAAUAAUAUUUCAACACUACGUUUUGCACACAAAACCAUUCCACCACAUUCAAUCAUGCAUGAAAACAUGUUUUCCACUCAACUAUUCUACUUAUAUGUAAUAAAUAUUUUACAAACUACACAUAUGUAAAUAUAAUAAGUUAUAUGUAAUUUUAAUUUUACUCAUGCAAAAAACCCAACUUUUAAUCAAGCAAUUACCACAUCAACGUGCGGGGUAAUCUCUAACAUUAUUGUUUUAUACAACCAAAUCUCAUUCAAAUAAUUGUAGCCCACAUCAAUGCAUGUGGUACAUAUAAUAAGUAGCAUAUAUCCUUAACAUAAUAUAUCUAUAAAAUUAAAAAUACAUCCAAAUCCUUCGGUGUGACAGAAUUUUCUUCCACCUACCUCCACCAAUGGCGCAUCAUAAGCAAGCCUUCGCUUACGCGCCUCCAUCUCGGGACGCAAACUUUAUUGAACCAGAAGCUUGUAAAUGUAGCAACAAUAAAGUCAUUGAUUUAGACCAAAAGAUGUCAAUUUCCGCAGGGUGCAUAGGAAGUCACCACCUUGAAGAAGACUAGAUAGGCAUAUAUAGUGUCCCAUGUCCCGCUAGACGUAGUUGGGGAACGCAACUCUCCCACGGUCCCCAAUGAGGCUGAUGUUGGCAACCUUCAUUGGUCAGAACUGGGUUGGGGAAUCAAGACACACAAACGCACCAUUCGCUCCCCAAUACAACGUGUGAGAUAAACCCAUAGAAGAAAAAAAAAUCAACCUGGAGAAUCAAAUUUGAGGAUACAUGCCUCCCAAGGAUGUCAAGAAGCACCAUCAGAAUGAAAGCCGAGACGGGGAGGAUUUAUUCAAUGCCACCGAUUACACCGUCGCCUCACCACCAACGAUUGGGAGCUAAAAUAUAAAUUUAAAAAUCAUACCCUACCACUAUCGAGGCGAAACAGAAGGGUCCCAACCCUCUCCCUCCGUCAAAGUAACAUACAAAGGGAAAGCAGGAGUAACCUGAUGGGCGAGGUCGUUUUGUCCGCUGGGAGUUUUGUCGAAAAUAUUGAGACAACACCAUGAGCUAGAGCCACCCAACUUGGGAUAUGGGAUCAACUUUUAUGGGCUUUGGUGCCAAAGCUUACGGAGGAGGAUGGGUAGUGCCUCCGUGGACCACACUUGUGACAGGGAGGAGCUAGGGCAUAUCUAGCAGCCCCCUAUCCGAAAAGUCAAAAACCUCUCCCUUGUCCCAUUUUCUUAUAAAUUUGAUGGGAUUAAAUGUUCGCUCACCUAGUAUAUCCCCUAAAAUUUAACCCCUAAUAAUACUUCAAUGCUAUUUUUUGCACACAAAACAAUCCCAACACGUCCAAUCAUGCAUGAAAACAUGUUUUCCACUCAACUAAUUUACUUAUAUGUAAUAAAUAUUUUACAACAACACAUAUUUAAAUAUAAUAAGUUGUAUGUAUUUUUAAUUCUAAUCUCUAACACUAUUGUUUUAUACAACCAAAUCUCAUUGAAAUAAUUGCAUCCCACAUCAAUGCAUGCGGUACAUAUACUAAGUAGCAUAUAUCCUUAACAUGAUAUAUUUAUAAAAUUAAAAAUACAUCCAAAUCCUUUGGUGUGACAAAAUUUUCUUCCUCCUACUUCCACCAAUGACGCAUCAUAAGCAAUCCUUCGCUUACGCGCCUCCAUCUAGGGAGGCAAACUUUAUUGAACGGAAAGCUUGUAAAUGUAGCAACUAUAAAGUCAUUUAUUUAGGCCAAAGGAUGUCAUUGACCGUAGUGUGCAUAGGAAGUCACCAAUUUGAAGAAGACCAGAGAGGCAUGUAUAGUGUCCCAUGUCCCGCUAGACGUAGUUGGGGAACACAACUCUCCAACGGUCCCUAAUGAGGCCGAUGUUGCUAACAUUCAUUGACCAGAACUGGGUUGGGGGAUCAACAUGCACAAAAGCACCAUUUGCUCCCCAACACAACGCUUGAGAUAAAACCAUAGAAGUAAAAAUCAACCCGGAGAAUCAGAUUUGAGGACACAUGCCUCCCAACGAUGUCAAGAAGCACCAUCCGAAUGAAAUACAAGGCGGCGAGGACUUAUUUCAUGCCACCGACUAAACCGUCGCCUUACCACCAACGAUUGGGAGCAAAAAUUUCAAUUUAAAAAUAUUACCCUACCACUAUCGAGGCGAGACGGCAGGGUCCGAACCCCCUCCCUCCAUCAAAGCAACAGGCGAAGGGGGAGGGGCAGUGACCUCACGGGCGAGGUCAUUUUUGCCGAUGGGAGUAUUGUCAAAUCUUGAGGCAACGCAAUUAGCUAGCCGCAACCCAACUUGGGAUAUGGGAUCAACUUUUAUGGGCUUUGGUGCCAAAGCUUACGCGGGAGGGUGGGUAGUGCCUCCGUGGACCAAGCUUGUGUCCGGGAGGAGCAAGGGCAUAUCUAGCGGCCCCCUGUCCGAAAAUUCCAAAACCUCUCCCUUGUCCCAUUUCCUUAUAAUUUUGAUGGGAUUAAAUGUUUGCUCACCUAGGAUAUCCUCUAAAAUUUAACCCCUAAUAUUAUUUCAACACUAUUUUUUGCACACAAGACCAUGCCAACACAUUUAAUCAUGCAUGAAAGCAUAUUUUCCACUCAACUAUUUUACUUAUAUGUAAUAAAUAUUUUUACAACUACACGUAUUUAAAUAUAAUAAGUUAUAUGUAUUUUCAAUUUUACUCAUGCAAACAACCCAACUUUUAAUCAAAAAAUUGACACAUCAACGGGGUAAUAUUUAACAUUAUUUUUUUAUUCAACCAAAUCUCAUUGAAAUAAUUGCAUCUUACAUCAAUGCAUGUGGUACGUAUAAUAAGUAGCAUAUAUCAUUAACAUAAUAUAUUUAUAAAAUUAAAAAUACAUUCAAAUCCUUCGGUGUGACAAAAAUUUCUUCCUCCUACAUCCACCAAUGGCGCAUCAUAAGCAAGCCUUUUCAUAGGCGCCUCCAUCUAGGGAGCCAAACUUUAUUGGACCGAAAGCUUGUAAAUGUAGAAACUAUAAAGUCGUUGAUUGAGACCAAAAGAUGUAAAUGACCGUAGUCUGCAUAGGAAGUCACCACCUUGAAGAAGACCAGAGAAGCUCGUAUAGUGUCCCAUGUCCCGCUAGACGGAGUUGGGGAACACAACUCUCCCACGAUCCCCAAUGAGGCCGAUGUUGGUAAGCUUCAUCGGCCAGAACUGGGUUGGGGAAUCAAAACACACACACGCACCAUUCGCUCGCCAACACAAUGCCUGAGAUAAACCCAUAGCAGAAAAAAAAAACCCGAAGAAUCAGAUUUGAGGACACAUGCCUCCCAACGAUGUCAAGAAGCACCAUCCGAAAUGAAAGACGAGGCGGCGAGAACUUAUUCCAUGCCACCGACUACACCGCCGCCACGCCACUAAAGAUUGGGAGCCAAAAUCUAAAUUUAAAAAUCUUACCCUACCAUUAUCGAGGCGAAACUGCUGGGUCCCAACCCCCCUCCUUCCAUCAAAGCAACAAGCGAAGGGGGAGGGGCAGUGACCUCACGGGCGAGGUCGUUUUGGUCGAUGAGAGUAUUCUCGAAUCCCGAGGCAACGCCAUGAACUAGCCGCAACCCAACUUGGGAUAUGGGAUCAACUUUUAUGGGCUUUGGUGCCAAAGCUUAUGGAAGAGGGUGGGUAGUGCCUCCUUGGACCACACUUGUGGCAGGGAGGAGCAAGGGCAUAUCUAGCAGCCCCCCUAUCAAAAAAGUACAAAACCUCUCCCUUGUACCAUUUCCUUAUAAUUUUGAUGGGAUUAAAUGUUUGCUCACGUAGGAUAUCCCCUAAAAUUUAACCCCUAAUAAUAUUUCAAAACUAUUUUUUGCACACAAAACCAUCCCAAGCACAAAUUAAAACUAGGUUAUUGCAUAAUUAAACAUCGACGCCACAUUAGCAUGUUACUUAGCAUACUUAAAUAGUCCAUGCCUAGUACAUUAAGACCAAAUGGACAACAAACUAGCCCAAGCAUUGAUCUAACAUAUAAACUAAAUACUAGCUAGCUCUACUCAUCUUUGCAGUUAAGAUAGCUAUAAAAUCCUGAGUCCAAGCCCAAGGUAGAGGCUUCGAGGGACUGUCCUCAUUGAUGUCGGUGGUAGAAAGACUCCAUGGCAUCUCGUCCUCAUCCUUUGAUUCUUUGAGGAGCUUGUUGAAUAAAUGAUUGUUCUCGCUUUCGAGGCCGGUGAGCUCAGCAUGGUCGUGGUCGAACGUGCAUUUGGCAUCCACGGACUAGAAGAAGGCUUCAUUGGUGGCAAGGAGGUCCGACUCCUCCUCGAUAUGCUCGGCCACCAAAUGUGCCUCGACCACCUUGUGCUUGAUCUCUUUGGCCCAGGAGAUGAUGUGAAUGUCCUGAGGUACGAGAGCGGUGGCGACAACAACGUCCAAAAAAAUGAAAGUCGUUCACGGUUCGAGGAAGCAAAAUAACAAUGACAUAGUAGAUGGGUGCCUCCUCCUCCUCCGUGUGGAAAGCGCCUAGCCAUCGGCGGCCAUGCUCUUUGUGGCGGGUCAACACGCAACAAAGACGUGGGCAUCGUUGUUAGUUGGCCCUCUUCAUCGACUAAGCCCAUGGAUGCAUUCCGGUUUCAAUGGAUCUCUCAUGUACGCCUUUUUCUUUCUAAUGGGCAAUUUUGUUGGUAUAUCUAGAUUAACAUUCGUUUUGCUUUGUAUGUAGUCCGCUAGUAAAUUUUUUUAAAAGACUUAUAUUAAGGAACGGAGGGAGUAGCUUCUGCAAAAUUCAUCCAGCAACUAGCUAGGUUGCUCCGCUUGGUAUGUGAUUCUUGCAGCAGCUAGCUAGUGCGUGUGUGUGCAUAUGCCGUUGGUGUUGUGUGUGUGCAUAUGCCGUUGCUGUUGUGUGUGUGUGUGCUGCGUGCGUGUGUGUGGUUACGUGUGCGCGUGUGUGGUUACGUGUGCGUGUGUGUGUGUGAUGUUACAUGUGUGUGUUGUGUGUGUGUGCUGUUGUGUGUGUUGUUGCGUGUGUAUGUACUGCUGCGUGUGUGUUACUGUCGCUGUGUGUGAUAAUGUCUCGCAGUGAUAUUGUGUGUAAUACUGUUCGCACACAUACAUACCACAUGAGAGGUAAAAAAGUUUUUUCAGAUGUCAUUUAGUCUUAAAAUUGAUAAAAAUAUCAUAAAGGACAUAAAAUUUAGACUCGUUGCUAUAUAGGGAAAAAAGUUGUUCAAUGUUAAAUAAGUAAAUAAAAUUUAAAAUAGUGUUAAAUAAAGAAUUGUUUCUUUAUAUUAUGAGACGAAGGGAGUACUUUGAAGUUAUUUCUUGGUGGAGGCGUUUUCUACAUAAUUUUAACAUGGUUGUAUUCUCCCAUGCUCUCUUGUUUUUUUUCCUAUGGAUUGGUUGUAACCUUGUUGUUUUAUAAAUAUACUCGUGGCUAACCAAAAAAAAACUCUAAAUUCUAUUUUCUAUCUUCAUUUCUUCAAAGAAGUAUAGAAAAAUGACUUUUGCUCAGCUCGCGGAUCCCCUACAAUUAUUUUAUAGAAAUAAUGUGAACAUAUCUUUUCACAUAAAUGUAUUUGAAACAGAUAUUUAAACUACUUCAUCGCAUAUAAUUAAAUAACGAGACUACAUUAACAUUCUACUCUGCAUCACAGGAGAUGAUGAUCACCCACGCAUCGAAGGGACCAACCUCGCCGUUGUUGGCAUAGGGGCGAAUUGUGCGCACAGUAUCAAACAACACGAAGAUUGUGUGGUUCUUGGCAACGGUCUCCGGAUUGGAGCACCUCUACGGCUAAAAGGAUCGGCGGCCAACUUGUGAUCCCUGACGCUGCUUCUUUGCCUCCUUAGAGCAUCUACAACCGAAUCUUUUUAAAUUCGACCUUUCAAACGUCCACAAACGUGUUCGGACGUAUACCGACCGGUCAUGUCACAAAUAAUGUAUUCUACAUUCAGACAUCUUAAAUGUCAUAUCUUAAAUCCGUACAACCAUGCAACUACUACAUCGACGCAUAUUACACACGUCGUCCGGCUACUCCAUCACUACUAACAUCUCAUCGGACUAUCAAAAUUUGAUAUGUUUGAUUAUGGUGGAGAUCAUCCACGUCUGCCCUUGUCCUUUUCGAUGCCCUUGCCGUCCAUGUCGUGAAAGUACCGGUUGAAGAGGCAAUACGGAUUGAGCCGGAUCUGCUUGUCGCCGAAGCUGUCCUCGCCGACGCUCACCUCCUUCUCCUCCUU
rnacentral:lncRNA from 1 species